rnacentral:tRNA from 1 species
GGAAAUCGCUCAGUUGGUAGAGUGCUUGCCUAGCAUGCACAAAGCCCUGGGUUCAGUCCCCAGCACCA